AGAGGAGGGACUCUGUUACGGACUGUAGUGAAAGGACAAGAGCCAAGAUCAGCUUUACUGAAAAUCCACACUCAAAAGACUAACUUGGCACAUUAGGACACAGGAGUUUUCCUAGUGACAGAACCAUCGCAUCUUCUCAUCCUCCACAAUUUCAGCCUCCGUGCAAUGGUCUAAGUGGAUCCAACUACAAAAAUCAGAAUUGUAAUGCUUCAAUAGUACCUUAUAAAUUACAUGAAAUCGAAUUACAAAAUGUAUUUUGAACUCUAGCUUGACAAUUUGAGGAAUACAAAAGUAAUUUUAUUCAAUACAGAAAAAGUCCUACCUUGGAGAACUUGAAGAACUGUGGGAGGUUUGUAUAUAUAAUACACACCUAAAUCUAUCCGGCUAAUAUUAAUCCUCUUGAAUUGCUGGAAUUACAUCAAAGGAAGGUGCAAAGGUGGAACCCCAACGGGAAACAAGACAAAAGGAAAGACGAGGCUCCUUGAGAAAACAAUGGAGAGGCAAGCUCCCAAAAGCAGAAUACUCUGCCUAGCCUCUGUAACGACAACAGAAUUUACCUCUCCCUGGCUGUAGAAUGUUAGAAAAUGAAAAAAGAAUCAGGUGGUAUAGACAUGUCCAAGAUGUACCAGCAGAAGGCAGCAGAAAGGCAGCAAAGGAGGCUGUACCUCCUUGACAUUGCUAAAAGUAACGGGAAGGUUGGGGUCCUUACAUUAGUUGCCAAAAAAAAGCUCAGAUGCUGAAAACUGACCACGUGGUCGUUUACAUUUCAUUGUAUGUGCUUUACUGAAGGGAUGAAAAAGAAGUUUUGGGUUUUUUUUGAAAAGACUGAUCUGGGAGUGAACUCAGCUAAUUCUCAGCUUAAUCAAAAAAAGAUGAAGAAGAAACCAAAGUGACUGAUCUUGCACUGCUGGAAUAGGCCCUCCUUGCCAAAGAGGGAACCACAGCACAGCUGCAGCAUGGGCUGCCACCCCAGCGCCUUGCUGAACACUGAAGUUAUUUGUCUAGUACCUGUGGCAGGCACCAAAGCCAGGCAAAAGGCUGACUGAUGGUCAUCUCUCCUUUACCCUUUCCUUGUGUCUAAUACAAACUGCCACUAUAGCAGUUUUCUUUUAGGUUGUUCUUAAUUCCAUUGAUGCUCUGUUUAAAUGAAACUAAAGACAGCUUUAAAGGAGUAUUUCUAUAGACAGAACAGAUUUUUCCAUGUUAAUGAGGUUGAAUAAGCGCUUUCCAUUUGAUAAUGGAUGCAUCUACAGAACUGGAAAUAUUUGUUCUAGAUAUAAAAAUUGACUUAAUUGAUGAGUGUUUGAUCACAUAGCUGUGUUACUGAGAAGAUUCAUCUCUGAGGAAAGAGUCUAAAUGUUCACAGCAGCACUUCAGGAGCACAGCUGCAUGGGUACGUUCUCCACUGAGGUGCUGAUGCCUGUGCCCCAGACAGUGCAUUUACUGCAGCCCUCAGCAGUGCUGGGCUAGAAGAUCUGGGCUCCCUCCCAGAAAUCUUCCACCUCUCAAGGCUCUGAUAAUUUAUAGGGAAAUGUAUGAGAAAUGAUCUCCCACCACAGGGUCAUGUGUAAGACAGAGGUAUCCUCCUGGCUAUAAAGAACUUCCUACAAUUCCAAAUACCCAGUUAGGAAUUAUUAAUUUUACCUUUUUGGGGGUUGAUUUUAAGUAUGGAACUAUUCUAAUUUUGAAAUCUCACUCAAAUCAAUCAAUGAAACCUUCCAUCUACCUGACACCUCUUUUUUUCCUCACUGGAUUACAAAUCUUUAAAAACUAUACACUAAACAUGUAUUCAGCUGUAACAUCUAUGUAAAAUGUGCAGCCAGAAAAAGUAAACUUAUUUUUACAUAAUUUUUUAAUAAUGCGUGUGCAGGUAAUUAGGCCAUAAAGUAUAGAGAUUUCAUCUUCCAAUUUACUUGUCAUAUUGGUAGUUCUUAACAUAUUGGUAGAUUUAACAUAUUCUUAACCUACAUACAGUCAGAUCACCUACUAACCAGACCUUUUGCUUAUGACAAGUGUUUUUCUUCCCAUAAACAUCUUGAAAUGAUGUCAGAUGAUGUUAAAGUUGUUUGUCAGGAAAACUUUUCUGAUGAAAAUAUGGUAUG